UGGUUUUUCUUUUGAUUUUUGCUUGAUUUGGAUGAAAUUGUAACCAUUGUUUUUUUGGGUUGGUUCUGAUCCUGUGCUAGGUUUUCCUCGCUGAGAGGAUAUUUUUCAUUUUGGUUCCUUCGUUGAUUAGUCGCAAAUUUGGCAGUGUCUCUGGUGGUCCUCUUAUUUUUUGGGUAAAUCUCCUUCCGCCAAAAAUAAUUUCCUUGCUAUUGUUAGUACUUUGUUCUCCUUCUUCUUUUUUAUUAUUAUAUACCUUCUGUUUAUUUAACAUGUUUGUAAGAUUGGUUUAUCAUUUAUGCAUGUUUUUAUACAAUUGUUGCAUAUUUCAUUCAUAUUUUACAUAUGUAUAUGCUUCGCUUUUAUCAAGUACGUACUUGAGAGAUUGGUAGCUUGAUUUUUGGGUGAGUUUUUGUCAUCAUUUUUUUGUACAUCUGGGAACCCCGUUGAUAGGUGUUAGAUUAGAGUGUGUUUGUAAUUUUUUGGAACAAAUCAGAGGAAUGAUUGGAGUUUGGGUAAAUUUGAUGUUAGGUUAAAAUUUCUUUGUAAUUUUAGUCUGCUGUGCAUUACCCAUUCGGAAAUCACGCUUGAGCAGUGUGCACCAUUGUGCUAUUUGCAAAGUACCAAACUAGGGGAAGAAGAUCAUUAACACUUUGUUUAGACAGAACCGUUUGUUUUCGCCAAAAUCAAAAGGAAAUUUUUUUUUUAACCGAAUGGUGUGUUUUCUUUCUUCUUUGUCCAUUUUGCCUAAAACAUUUAACCAAAACAUGACAAUUUCACUGAAAAAAUCCCAUUUCCCUACUUUUAAAUGAAUUAAGCAUGUCAUUUUAACACCUCCUAUAAAAUAUUUAUGUAAACCAACUAAAAAUCCGACUUUUUUCCUACUUUUGAAUGAAUGAAGCAUGCAAUUUCAAUUUUGUCCAUGUGGUCUAAACUAUUGAAUCAAAACAUGACAAUUUCAUUGCAAAAACCCCAUUUUUCCAACUUUUGACUGAAUUUAUCAUAACAUUUUAAGGUUGGCAUAAAAGAUUAUACGAGGCAGCUAAAAAUCCUAUUGUUUUUCUGUUUAUUCAUUGAAUCGAACAUGUCAUUUCAAAUUAGUAGCUCAAUUUUCUUUCUGCUGUUACAAUUAGUGGCUUAAGUGCCCCAUUUUUUCCUACUUUUGAAUGAAUUGCGCAUAACUGUGAAUCGUUUCCUAACAAAUCUGUUGAGAUAUGUUAUUUUUGGUAGGAAAUUGUGGUUGCUGUUGUUAGAAAUAGAUUGAAUUUUUCUGUUUGGUUUUGAUUAUAGCUUAUGUCUUUGAACAAGCAUGCUUAUAAAGUUGCUGCAAAGUGUUUCCUCCCUUGCUUGACCUGGGAAUACAAUGUUUCCUCCCUUUAUUUCUCUGUUUUGUCUACUAUAUCCACCAGCCAUAAAGCACAAAAGUAGUUCUACUCAACACGCACACGCACACCCAUACACCUCCAUAACUGACCACCCGACCUCCAUUUCAGCUCAGCUCAGCUCAUAUUCCGACCGUCCAAAUCAACCACUUUUCCGACCCUUGAAUGUCUUAAGUUUAGAUUAGACUCUCAUCACAUCAUUAUAAUCUGCUCUUGCUGCUGCGUGCAUUUGAAUCAACACAUUGUUUAGAUUAGAGUCUCAUCACAUCAUUAUAAUUUGCUCUUGCUGCUUCGUGCAUUUGAAUCAACACUUUGGCUAAAUAAAAUGGUGUGCGAGAUUGAUCGAAGAGAGCAACAAAUUCUAGGAGUGUUA